rnacentral:lncRNA from 10 species
UGUAGCAAAUAUUUCAACUGACAUUCAGAUCUUCACAAGCACCACAGGAUCCCUGCUCAUGAGAAGGUCUACAGUGGAAAGAAGAUGGGAAAGGCUUCAGAUAUGGGUUGAAAUAGUCAUGGCACCAGAAAAUCCACACUGGGAAGAAGCCCUGCUCACAUCAAGCAUGUAGACAAUGCCUUCACUGGGCAUUGGGAAGGAGGAAAGAAAGGAGGAAAGAAAGUCCUUCCUUCUGCAACAUCAGAAACUUCAUAAUGGAGAGAAGCCCUAGAAAUGUGGGGACUUGGGGAAAACCUUCAGAUAUAAUGGAACACUUAUUCAGCAUCAGAGAACCCACACUGGGGAGAAACCCUUUGAAUGUAAGGAAUAUGAACAUGCUUUUCGGUUCAUGAGUGUGCAUUCACACUAAGGAGAAACCCUACAAAUGUAAAGGGUGUGGGUGUAGUUUUAGUCUUCCUCUGUCCUGAUUCAGCAUCACAGAGUCUACAGGGAGAGAAAUGUUAUGAAUGUAAAGAGCAUGCAGGGCCUUCUGCCAGAGGUGGGUAAUUCUUCAGCACCAGAGAUUCCAUGCUGGGAAACCGUCUGUGAACUUGGGGAAUGCUGGCAAAGGCUCCCUGUGUCUCUUGCUUCACAGUGCAGCAAGGAACACACACUGGGGGAGAAUUUCAUGAAUGCCAGGAAUGUGAGAAAGCAUCCAGUUGAAAAAUCAUCUAGGUUCUGCAUCAGAGUUUGCACUGGGGAGAAACUUUAUG